rnacentral:rRNA from 1 species
UACAGAGGGUGCAAGCGUUGCUCGGAAUCAUUGGGCGUAAAGGGUAGGUAGGCGGUCUCAUUUGUCUGGGGUGAAAUCCUUGAGCUUAACUCAAGAAGUGCCCUAGAAACGGUGAGACUGGAGUCCUGGAGAGGGUCGUGGAAUUCCCGGUGUAGCGGUGAAAUGCGUAGAGAUCGGGAGGAACACCAGAGGCGAAGGCGGCGACCUGGACAGGUACUGACACUCAACUACGAAAGCGUGGGGAGCAAACAGG